AUACGGAGGAUCCGAGCGUUAUCCGGAUUUAUUGGGUUUAAAGGGUGCGCAGGCGGCCAUUUAAGUCAGCGGUUAAAUCGUGGGGCUCAACCCCAUUCUGCCGUUGAUACUGGGUGGCUUGAUUGCGGUCGAGGUUGGCGGAAUUCGUUGUGUAGCGGGGAAAUGCAUAGAUAUGACGAAGAACACCGAUUGCGUAGGCAGCUGACCAGAUCGCAAAUGACGCUCAUGCACGAAAGUGCGGGGAUCGAACAGGAUUAGAUACCCUGGUAGUCCGCACAGUAAACGAUGAAUACUUGUUUUCGGCGAUAUAAUGUCGGAGGCAAAGCGAAAGCGAUAAGUAUUCCACCUGGGGAGUACGCCGGCAACGGUGAAACUCAAAGGAAUUGGCGGGG
rnacentral:rRNA from 1 species